rnacentral:misc_RNA from 1 species
GUUUUCACAGGGUCACCAGCCAAACAGAUGUUCACUUUUUCAUCAGUGUCUAUCUCACUCUUUAGUGAAAGGGCAUUAAGUAACUGAUCAAAAUAAGGCAGCAAAUGAAGCACAAAAGGAUUUACGGAAAUCGUCCUUUUUUCGUAGGAGGAAUUCUUGAGCUCCACCAAAAUUUCUUUAAAGAUCUUCAGUAUUUCAACAGUUCUAGAAUUAGAAAGAGAAUUCUCAAUGAACUGAGAAAGAACAGGGAAAAAUGCAUUGUAAAUGCUUGUCACGUGCACAUCUACGCACAGACGAACAGGACAAGAAGAGCAACUUAAAGAGGAAUCUUCAUUAGAACCAAUUUCAGAUCUGGAAAUGCGCCAUUCCUUAUCCCCGCUUUGUCUUCCAGGUAAAGAGAUUGAAGCAUCGUCUUUGGAAUGUAAACCUUUCUCAAGUUCUUCUAAUUCAUUCUUGUCACGGUCUUCAAGCAUGGAACAAAUCAGAGAUGUAAAACUUUUUCGGCAGUCUCUUGUCAUAUUAGUGAGAGUAGCAGAUAAAUCUGUCUCUCUGAUAAUGUUUCGUCGAGAAAAAACCUAAAGCCACUUCCUUGUAUAACGCUUAGUGACAUCAUAAACUCCAUCUUUUGCAAUUGCAAUUACAUAAUUCAAUUUCUUAUCCCACCCCUUUUCAUAUAACAAUGGUCUGUCAUAUACUCGGUCACAAGGGUCAAGAUGCAUCCAUCUUCCCAAAACUUGAGAGAAGCACUCCGUCCAAAGAUGAUCAGUAAAAUCCAGGAUCAAACGAGAUUCAUAGCCAAAAGCUCGACAGUAAAGUGUAAAGCAAUUGGCCCACUCCCCACAACGGCCCCUUCUAGUUUCUACGAGCUUUAAUGGAUCAUUGUAACGUGGGAAUCGAGUGAUUCUGGAACAAGAAUUGCAGUGAUAAAGUUCAACUCGACUUGCUCCAUAUUGACUUUCAGAAGGAAUAGUAACACCCAUUCCUUGAUUAAUGGUAUCAUUGCCACAACUAUCACAAGGUGGUGCGUUAACCCACCUGAAAGAUUCUUUGGACCAGAAAAGCAGCUGCAGCAGGAAAGCAUGGUCUUUUUCAAUUUUUGAUGGUUUAAAGUUCCCCUCCUUGGCCAAAGAAACCAAUGCCUUCUCCUCAAGCUCUUCUACAGGAACUGUUUUUCGCGCUGCCUCCUGGCGCGCUGGGUCUUCA